GGGAGGAUGGCCGAGCGGUUAAGGCGCUGUGUUUAGGCCGCAGUGGGAAACCUCGUGGGUUCGAAUCCCACUCCUCUCA
rnacentral:tRNA from 1 species